CCUACGGGGGGCAGCAGUGAGGAAUAUUGGUCAAUGGACGAGAGUCUGAACCAGCCAAGUAGCGUGAAGGAUGACUGCCCUAUGGGUUGUAAACUUCUUUUAUAUGGGAAUAAAAUGUUCCACGUGUGGGAUUUUGUAUGUACCAUAUGAAUAAGGAUCGGCUAACUCCGUGCCAGCAGCCGCGGUAAUACGGAGGAGCCGAGCGUUAUCCGGAUUUAUUGGGUUUAAAGGGAGCGUAGGUGGACUGUUAAGUCAGUUGUGAAAGUUUGCGGCUCAACCGUAAAAUUGCAGUUGAAACUGGCAGGCUUGAGUACAGUAGAGGUGGGCGGAAUUCGUGGUGUAGCGGUGAAAUGCUUAGAUAUCACGAAGAACUCCGAUUGCGAAGGCAGCUCACUGGACUGCAACUGACACUGAGGCUCGAAAGUGUGGGUAUCAAACAGGAUUAGAUACCCCUGUAGUC
rnacentral:rRNA from 1 species